UUAUUGGAGAGUUUGAUCCUGGCUCAGGAUGAACGCUGGCGGCGUGCCUAAUACAUGCAAGUCGAGCGAAUGGAUUGAGAGCUUGCUCUCAAGAAGUUAGCGGCGGACGGGUGAGUAACACGUGGGUAACCUGCCCAUAAGACUGGGAUAACUCCGGGAAACCGGGGCUAAUACCGGAUAAUAUUUUGAACUGCAUGGUUCGAAAUUGAAAGGCGGCUUCGGCUGUCACUUAUGGAUGGACCCGCGUCGCAUUAGCUAGUUGGUGAGGUAACGGCUCACCAAGGCAACGAUGCGUAGCCGACCUGAGAGGGUGAUCG
rnacentral:rRNA from 1 species